CCUACGGGCGGCAGCAGUGGGGAAUAUUGCACAAUGGGGGAAACCCUGAUGCAGCGACGCCGCGUGAGCGAGGAAGGCUUUCGGUAUGUAAAGCUCUAUCAGCAGGGACGAAAAAAGACGGUACCGGACUAAGCAGCCCCGGCUAACUAAGUGCCCGCAGCCGAGGUAAUACGGAGGGGGCACGCGUUAUCCGGAUUUACUGGGGGUAAAGGGAGCGUAGGCGGCAAGGCAAGCCAGAAGUGAAAGGGCAGGGCUCAACCCUGUACAUGCUUUUGGAACCGGGGUGCUCGAGUGCAGGAGAGGUAAGUGGAAUUCCUAGUGUAGCGGUGAAAUGCGGAGAUAUUAGGAGGAACACCAGUGGCGAAGGCGGCUUACUGGACUGUAACUGACGUUGAGGCUCGAAAGCGUGGGGAGCAAACAGGAUUAGAUACCCCAGUAGUC
rnacentral:rRNA from 1 species